UGGGAGCCUCGACAAUGCAUUCA
rnacentral:siRNA from 1 species